GGCUGGGGGCUGGGGGGGAGCAGAAUGUGCAUGUAUUGGAGCCUUUAUAUAAAAUGCACCUGUUGAAUUUUUCCAGAGUCAUCCCAAGAUUCUCAUUUUGCUUGGAAGUGUGAGAUUUGGAUGCGUUGCUUGACGCGCACAACUGCAGUUACGGGAAAAUCACACCCAAACGGGUUCAUCAUUUGUAUGGCUAACUAAUGACUCAAAUUCUCUGUGUACCGACUCCUGAAGAAAAGAUUCUUGGAUCUGCAGACCUGGCUGUGUAGGAGCUGGGAGGAACGGAGUGUGCAUGCAGAGACUGUGCACGAACACAAGAGGGCAUACUCGCGCUCACCUGCUGGUAUGAGUGAAAACAAAAUGCAGAAACUUGACAUGUACAGUAUUUUAUUGGGCUGAAAAACAAGGUUAAUUAAGCUGCAGAUUAAUUAAAGUUUUAAUAAUUCCUAUUCAUCAUGAUCCCUUAAUAAUUCUUAGUUUUGCGGCAGUUAACUAAUGGUAAGUUCCCAACAGGAUUCUUGUGGUAAAUACAGCAAUAUCAUCUACUCUUACAACAUGCAACACACAACUAACAAUUAACCAGUCAUUGUGCAUUACAGUUUUAACGGUAGGCAUAGAUAUGUGUCAAGGAAGGAUUUACUGUCCUGAGUUAGAUAUUGCAAUCACUGACAGGGUGCAACUUCAGCCAGACUUCUCAAGUGCUUUCACAACUAUAUCAGUCUUUUUAUCCAUGCAUCCAAGAAAAUAAUCCAGGAUAAGUAGGGCCCACAAAAAACAAACAACUGUCAGCCUAAAAACUGUAUAACCCCCAGCAUAUCUAAACUAAUAGCUCAAUACAGUUAACAAAGUGAGGGUUCCAUGUUGACACUGCUCGCGCUGCAGUUUACUGACAUUAGCCUUCUUUCAUAAACACAUCUUCACCCAAAGUAAACCGAGGAACUCUUAUUGUAUUGACCUGGCAGGCUUUCUUUAAUCCAGCACUGCUUUGGGCUUUAGGAUCAGUACAAGGGAGCAAUGGAGCUGGUAAUCAUGGGGGCUCUUUAUAUGAUAACACCACACUGUCUUAAAAUAGGACAAUAGAAUCUUUAACAGGCUGAUUUUGAUCUACUGUUUGUGUGUUUGAAUGGUUCGCUAUAUUUUUUGUCUGUCUGUGAUUGCACUUGAUUGUGUUUCUGAGGUGUGUCCAACCCUGUAGAUCAAUCGCUGUCACUCCAUACAAGCUGGGGUCUCGGGUGCUGUCUGUGAGUGUGAAUAAUAAGAAACACUGCCUGAUAAGUGUAGCAAAGUACUGGGGCUGAGGACCACUGUAACAAAACCAUGUCAUCAGAGAAAACCAAACCAGAUCUGACAAUGAAAAGCAAGCAAACAACCAAAAGACUCUCAGCGGCACAAUAAAAGCACAGCCAUAAUGAUGUUAAUAAAGCUGUUUUUUAUUUAGGUUCUGAAAUAAUUGACGGUUUUAGCAUGGACUCAGAUGGCUCCUGAUUUUAAAAGCAUUCAGAAACAUUGCUGUUAUUACAAGUCAAGCCAAAUUUAACAGUUUAAUAGCCUGUUCUGAAAGAUGAAAAUCAAGGGUAUUGCAUAUAUUUUCUUUUCAUAGCAUGUCAUUUAAUUGCAGUUUAAAUGCAGCUCUGGAUUUCCUGUUCACUACUUUGGCUUUCUGAAAGCGAGGGGUCAGUGCUAACGAGGAAGUGCAUAUAUAAAAAGAGGAUGAUGAGAAGGUCUGGAAGAAAACAAUAUGGUGUGGAGUUCAAUCUGGAGAUAAACAUGAGCACAUUGUGCAGGCUUGGAUUCCAGAAGGAGAAUCCCCAACACAUCAUGCAGUGAGACUUCCGAAAGUAACAAACACGGAAAAGGGACAGCGCUGAGACGACAUUUCUUUUCUGAACCAGUUGAUAAAUACAGAUGCGGAGGAUUAAACGAAGAACGCAGUGAACUCACCACAGGAAACAAACAGACUGAGAACGAGUGGGACAAGCAAGACCCGUCAACAACUCUGCCACUAAAAUCAGAGUUCAGGCAAUCAUCAGCCCAACCAAUCGCAAGCAGCCCAUCGUGCCCUCAGGGACCUGUGCUAAGGAAGAAUGUCUGUACCAAGUCUCCUUACAGCAUGGGCUGCUCUUCCUACACAUCUCUAACAUGCCAUGCAUGCAGGGCCCACCACUAUGCUCUGCAGGGCAUGCUGGGUACAUGAAUAACUGAACUGUGCAAAGCACAUCGGGAGGGUACUCCCAGUCUCUCAUGCAUAGCUGAGUGUUAGUCAAGUCUCAGUGGAGGUCUAUCUCAAUUGUGAUUCAUUUCAAGUGGUUUCACCAGCACUUCCUGGGAAGAAUAACCUUUACCUGUUUGUCACAUCAGACACAUGCAGUGCAAUGGUGUUGUUUUCAAGACAUCAGAGAAGAGUCUUUCUGACAAAGUGAAAACUACAACCAUUUUUUCACGAGGGAAAUUACGUUUUCCGAAAGUUCUGGAAGGAUGUACUAAAAUUAUAAAACUGGUAAGAAAAAUCCAGCCUGGCAAAUUCAGCAGACUUCUAGUGUUUAAAUACAUAAGACCAGUGUGUAUCUGUAGCUCUCUCCUUACC